rnacentral:rRNA from 1 species
AAGGCGGCUUACUGGUCCAUUACUGACGCUGAGGUGCGAAAGCGUGGGGAUAGCAAACAGGAUUAGAUACCCUGGUAGUCCACGCCGUACGAUGAAUUAGCCGUCGGAAGCAGUAUACUGUUCGGUGGCGCAGCUAACAUUAAACAUUCCGCCUGGGGAGUACGGUCGCAAGAUUAAAACUCAAAGGAAUUGACGGGGGCCCGCACAAGCGGUGGCGCAUGUGGUUUAAUUCGAAGCAACGCGCAGAACCUUACCAGCUCUUGACAUUCGGGGUAUGGGCAUUGGAGACGCAUGUCCUUCAGUUAGGCUGGCCCCAGAACAGGUGCUGCAUGGCUGUCGUCAGC